rnacentral:tRNA from 1 species
AGCUCUGCAGCUUGUAGGUUUAAGCGCCCAUCUAACGAAUAGGAAGACGUGGGUUCGAUUCCCACCGGAGCAG